UGGUCAAGUUAUUAAGGGUGCAGGGCGGAUGCCUUGGCACUAGGAGCCGAUGAAGGACGUGAUAAGCUGCGAUAAGCUUCGGGGAGUUGCACGUAAACUUUGAUCCGAAGAUUUCCGAAUGAGGAAACUCACUUAGAGUAAUGUCUAAGUAUCAUUAAGUGAAUACAUAGCUUAAUGAGGGGAACUCAGGGAACUGAAACAUCUAAGUACCUGAAGGAAGAGAAAGAAAUUCGAUUCCGUAAGUAGCGGCGAGCGAACGCGGAUUAGCCCAAACCAAUAAAGUUUUCUUUAUUGGGGUUGCGGACAUAUCAUAACGAAGAGGUAUCGUAAUUGAAGAGGUUUGGAAAGACCCACCACAGAAGGUAAUAGUCCUGUAUGUUAAACGAGAAGACUUUAGAUAUGAUCCAGAGUACCACGGGACACGUGAAACCCUGUGGGAAGCAGGAGGGACCACCCUCCAAGGCUAAAUACUACCUAGUGACCGAUAGCGUAUAGUACCGUGAGGGAAAGGUGAAAAGAACCCCGGGAGGGGAGUGAAAUAGAACCUGAAACCCUGCACUUACA
rnacentral:rRNA from 1 species